rnacentral:rRNA from 1 species
UGACGAUCAUAGAGCGUUGGAACCACCUGAUCCCUUCCCGAACUCAGAAGUGAAACGACGCAUCGCCGAUGGUAGUGUGGGG